GACGAACGCUGGCGGCGCGCUUAACACAUGCAAGUCGAGCGAUGAAAUCUUGACAGAACCCUUCGGGGCGAAGAUAAGAUGGAUUAGCGGCGGACGGGUGAGUAACACGUGAGUAACCUGCCUUAGACAUUGGGAUAGCCUCGGGAAACCGGGAUUAAUACCAAAUGAAAUCACAUAUGCACAUGCAUAAAUGAUCAAAGCUCCGGCGGUCUAAGAUGGACUCGCGUCCCAUUAGCUAGUUGGUGAGGUAACGGCCCACCAAGGCGACGAUGGGUAGCCGGCCUGAGAGGGUGAACGGCCACAUUGGAACUGAGAAACGGUCCAAACUCCUACGGGAGGCAGCAGUGGGGAAUAUUGCACAAUGGAGGGAACUCUGAUGCAGCGACGCCGCGUGAACGAAGAAGGCUUUCGAGUCGUAAAGUUCUUUUAUGUGGGAAGAUAAUGACGGUACCAUAAGAAAAAGCCCCGGCUAACUACGUGCCAGCAGCCGCGGUAAUACGUAGGGGGCUAGCGUUGUCCGGAAUCACUGGGCGUAAAGGGUUCGCAGGCGGAAAUGCAAGUCAGGUGUAAAAGGCAGUAGCUUAACUACUGUAAGCAUUUGAAACUGCAUAUCUUGAGAAGAGUAGAGGUAAGUGGAAUUUUUAGUGUAGCGGUGAAAUGCGUAGAUAUUAAAAAGAAUACCGGUGGCGAAGGCGACUUACUGGGCUCAUUCUGACGCUGAGGAACGAAAGCGUGGGUAGCAAACAGGAUUAGAUACCCUGGUAGUCCACGCUGUAAACGAUGAGUGCUAGGUAUCGGAAAAAUUCGGUGCCGCAGUUAACACAUUAAGCACUCCGCCUGGGGAGUACGUGCGCAAGCAUG
rnacentral:rRNA from 1 species